UACGGAGGGUGCGAGCGUUGUUCGGAAUUACUGGGCGUAAAGCGCGUGUAGGCGGUGACGUAAGUCGGGUGUGAAAUCCCUGGGCUCAACCCGGGAACUGCGCUCGAAACUGCGACACUGGAGUACGGGAGAGGGGUGUGGAAUUCCUGGUGUAGAGGUGAAAUUCGUAGAUAUCAGGAGGAACACCGGUGGCGAAGGCGACACCCUGGACCGAUACUGACGCUGAGACGCGAAAGCGUGGGGAGCAAACAGG
rnacentral:misc_RNA from 1 species